rnacentral:rRNA from 1 species
AUUGAACGCUGGCGGUAUGCUUAACACAUGCAAGUCGAACGGUAACAGGCCUUCGGGUGCUGACGAGUGGCGGACGGGUGAGUAACGCGUAGGAAUCUGCCUCAUAGUGGGGGACAACGUGGGGAAACUCACGCUAAUACCGCAUACGCCCUACGGGGGAAAGCGGGGGAUCUUCGGACCUCGCGCUAUGAGAUGAGCCCAAGUCCGAUUAGCUAGUUGGCAGGGUAACGGCCUACCAAGGCGACGAUCGGUAGCUGGUCUGAGAGGACGAUCAGCCACACUGGGACUGAGACACGGCCCAGACACCUACGGGUGGCAG